AUAUGGCCAGAAUAGGUGUGGUAUAUGGCCAGAAUAGGUGUGGUAUAUGGCCAGAAUAGGUGUGGUAUAUGGCCAGAAUAGGUGUGGUAUAUGGCCAGAAUAGGUGUGGUAUAUGGCCAGAAUAGGUGUGGUAUAUGGCCAGAAUAGGUGUGGUAUAUGGCCAGAAUAGGUGUGGUAUAUGGCCAGAAUAGGUGUGGUAUAUGGCCAGAAUAGGUGUGGUAUAUGGCCAGAAUAGGUGUGGUAUAUGGCCAGAAUAGGUGUGGUAUAUGGCCAGAAUAGGUGUGGUAUAUGGCCAGAAUAGGUGUGGUAUAUGGCCAGAAUAGGUGUGGUAUAUGGCCAGAAUAGGUGUGGUAUAUGGCCAGAAUAGGUGUGGUAUAUGGCCAGAAUAGGUGUGGUAUAUGGCCAGAAUAGGUGUGGUAUAUGGCCAGAAUAGGUGUGGUAUAUGGCCAGAAUAGGUGUGGUAUAUGGCCAGAAUAGGUGUGGUAUAUGGCCAGAAUAGGUGUGGUAUAUGGCCAGAAUAGGUGUGGUAUAUGGCCAGAAUAGGUGUGGUAUAUGGCCAGAAUAGGUGUGGUAUAUGGCCAGAAUAGGUGUGGUAUAUGGCCAGAAUAGGUGUGGUAUAUGGCCAGAAUAGGUGUGGUAUAUGGCC